GAAAUCGAAAGCAAGUGUUAGAGAGGGCAUGGGGAUCGAAACUUUCAAAUGUGGUUUUAGGAGGCAGGCGCCAUCAUCAUGAAUCGGUGAUGUGAUGGAUGGGAACAUGAACACCUAUGAUUACGAAAAAGAGACAAAUUUCAAGGGCGACAAGGGAAAAGGGCUGGGCUUAGUUGCCAAACAUUUUGAGCUACUGAGAACACGCAAUUUAUCA
ensembl:ncRNA K08A8.7 ncRNA